rnacentral:tRNA from 2 species
UGGGGUGUAGCCAAGCGGUAAGGCAACGGACUUUGACUCCGUCAUUGCGCUGGUUCGAAUCCAGCCAUCCCAG